AAGAAAAGUCUGGGAUUAAAAGAAACUGCUAAUUUCUCCAUCCAUGGUUCAAAUCCGUGGUUUUCUUA
rnacentral:tRNA from 1 species